rnacentral:rRNA from 1 species
GAUGAACGCUGGCGGCGUGCCUAAUACAUGCAAGUCGAGCGAACGGACGAGAAGCUUGCUUCUCUGAUGUUAGCGGCGGACGGGUGAGUAACACGUGGAUAACCUACCUAUAAGACUGGGAUAACUUCGGGAAACCGGAGCUAAUACCGGAUGAUAUUUUGAACCGCAUGGAUCAAAAGUGAAAGACGGUCUUGCUGUCACUUAUAGAUGGAUCCGCGCUGCAUUAGCUAGUUGGUAAGGUAACGGCUUACCAAGGCAACGAUGCAUAGCCGACCUGAGAGGGUGAUCGGCCACACUGGAACUGAGACACGGUCCAGACUCCUACGGGAGGCAGCAGUAGGGAAUCUUCCGCAAUGGGCGAAAGCCUGACGGAGCAACGCCGCGUGAGUGAUGAAGGUCUUCGGAUCGUAAAACUCUGUUAUUAGGGAAGAACAUAUGUGUAAGUAACUGUGCACAUCUUGACGGUACCUAAUCAGAAAGCCACGGCUAACUACGUG